rnacentral:rRNA from 1 species
UACGUAGGGUGCAAGCGUUAAUCGGAAUUACUGGGCGUAAAGCGUGCGCAGGCGGUUAUGCAAGACAGAUGUGAAAUCCCCGGGCUUAACCUGGGAACUGCAUUUGUGACUGCAUAGCUGGAGUACGGUAGAGGGGGAUGGAAUUCCGCGUGUAGCAGUGAAAUGCGUAGAUAUGCGGAGGAACACCGAUGGCGAAGGCAGUCCCCUGGACCUGUACUGACGCUCAUGCACGAAAGCGUGGGGAGCAAACAGGAUUAGAUACCCUGGUAGUCCACGCCCUAAACGAUGUCAACUGGUUGUUGGGAAGGUUUCUUCUCAGUAACGUAGCUAACGCGUGAAGUUGACCGCCUGGGGAGUACGGCCGCAAGGUUG